GAUGAACGCUGGCGGCGUGCCUAAUACAUGCAAGUCGAACGGGGAGUAGCAAUACUCUUAGUGGCGAACGGGUGAGUAACGCGUUGGUACCUGCCCCGAAGCGGGGGAUAACGGACCGAAAGGUCCGCUAAUACCCCAUGUGCUCGGUAACGAGUAAAGGUGAAAACCACUUUGGGAGGGGCAUGCGUCCCAUCAGCUAGUUGGUAAGGUAACGGCUUACCAGGGCGAUGACGGGUAGGGGACCUGAGAGGGUGGCCCCCCACAAUGGAACUGAAACACGGUCCAUACACCUACGGGUGGCAGCAGUAGGGAAUAUUGGUAAUGGGCGCAAGCCUGAACCAGCAACGCCGCGUGUGCGAUGACGGCCUUCGGGUUGUAAAGCACUUUUGACUGGGACGAGGAAGGACGGUACCGGUCGAAUCAGCCUCGGCUAACUACGUG
rnacentral:rRNA from 1 species